CACCGCCCGUCACAUCACGAAAGUGGGCUGUACUAGAAGUGGCUGAGCUAACCCGCAAGGGAGGCAGGUUACGACGGUAUGGUUCAUGAUUGGGGUG
rnacentral:rRNA from 1 species